rnacentral:rRNA from 1 species
GUAGUCCACGCCGUAAACGAUGGAUACUAGCUGUUCGGGAGCAAUCUUGAGUGGCUAAGCGAAAGUGAUAAGUAUCCCACCUGGGGAGUACGGGCGCAAGCCUGAAACUCAAAGGAAUUGACGGGGGCCCGCACAAGCGGUGGAGCAUGUGGUUUAAUUCGAUGAUACGCGAGGAACCUUACCAGGGCUUAAAUGUAGUUUGACCGAUUUGGAAACAGAUCUUUCGCAAGACAAAUUACAAGGUGCUGCAUGGUUGUCGUCAGCUCGUGCCGUGAGGUGUCAGGUUAAGUCCUAUAACGAGCGCAACCCCUGUUGUUAGUUGCCAGCACGUAAUGGUGGGAACUCUAGCAAGACUGCCAGUGUAAACUGUGA